CUCUUUUUUUUACAAGACGAAAUGUGCUGGAAACGUUAAACAAAAUUAACGAAAAAACAUAUCAGUUGACAGUAUAUUAUUUGACUAGAAUUUCCAUUGGCACAGAUUGUGAUAAACAAGAGCAGUCAGAGUCUAGGGGUGGUAUGUGAUUGUGGUUUUAAGUUUAUUUAUAUACUAAUUAUCGUAGUUAAAUUCAGUAGCUAGGCCAAUAGGUGUGUGUACAGUGCUGGAGGUGAUCCAGUGUCAGUAGUCUUA